AUAUGAUGAGGAGAAUGAUGAGUAGGUCUAACUUGUCUGAAUAUCUGUGGGGUGAAGCUUUUAAAACUUGCCUUGUAUAUCCUUAACAGAGUUUCUAGUAAAUCUGUACCUAAAACAUCUUUCGAACUUUGGAUUGGUAGAAAAUCUAAAACAUUUCUAAGUUUGGAGUUGUCAUAUAGAAGUAAGAAUAUAUAAGCCCAUAGAGACAAAAACUGACCCC
rnacentral:lncRNA from 1 species